rnacentral:rRNA from 1 species
GAGACCCACGCCAACAGUUGCCAGCAUGUCCUCCGGGAUGGUGGGGACACUGUUGGGACCGCCUCUGCUAAAGAGGAGGAAGGAAUGGGCAACGGUAGGUCAGCAUGCCCCGAAUUAUCCGGGCUACACGCGGGCUACAAUGGGCAGGACAAUGGGUUUCGACACCGAAAGGUGAAGGCAAUCUCUUAAACCUGCUCGUAGUUCGGAUUGCGGGUUGCAAUUCGCCCGCAUGAAGCUGGAAUCUGUAGUAAUCGCGUCUCAAAAUGGCGCGGUGAAUAU